ACGCGACCCCAGGUCAGGCGGGGUUACCCGCUGAGUUU
rnacentral:rRNA from 1 species